rnacentral:rRNA from 1 species
AAUUCGCCCUUAGAGUUUGAUCAUGGCUCAGAUUGAACGCUGGCGGCAUGCUUUACACAUGCAAGUCGAACGGCAGCACGGACUUCGGUCUGGUGGCGAGUGGCGAACGGGUGAGUAAUACAUCGGAACGUGCCCAGUUGUGGGGGAUAACUACUCGAAAGAGUAGCUAAUACCGCAUGAGAACUGAGGUUGAAAGCAGGGGAUCGUAAGACCUUGCGCAACUGGAGCGGCCGAUGGCAGAUUAGGUAGUUGGUGGGAUAAAAGCUUACCAAGCCGACGAUCUGUAGCUGGUCUGAGAGGACGACCAGCCACACUGGGACUGAGACACGGCCCAGACUCCUACGGGAGGCAGCAGUGGGGAAUUUUGGACAAUGGGCGAAAGCCUGAUCCAGCAAUGCCGCGUGCAGGAUGAAGGCCUUCGGGUUGUAAACUGCUUUUGUACGGAACGAAAAGCUUCGGGUUAAUACCCUGAAGUCAUGACGGUACCGUAAGAAUAAGCACCGGCUAACUACGUGCCAGCAGCCGCGGUAAUACGUAGGGUGCAAGCGUUAAUCGGAAUUACUGGGCGUAAAGCGUGCGCAGGCGGUCUUGUAAGACAGAGGUG